AAAACCUUUAAAUAACGGCUGUUACGUGUUAUUUAAAACUAUGCUUUCAAUAAACAAAAAUAGUAAUUCUUUAAUGCUUGAAUAUUGCAAGAACUAUUGACAAGUAAAACUGUGGUAAAGAAAUGUGUCAUUAAAUGAGCAUAUCAUUCGCAAAUGUUUUCAAUUUUAUAUUCGAAACAUGUAGCAUGAAUAUCAUAAUACAUCCAGAAAAACAAUUGAAAUGAAUAAAAUAGAAACAAACUAAAUUCACCUUUAGCAAAUGACUGAGGCUUUG
rnacentral:misc_RNA from 1 species